UGCCAUCAGCACCAACAGCUUCAGAGAG
rnacentral:piRNA from 1 species